rnacentral:rRNA from 1 species
UACGUAGGGUGCAAGCGUUAAUCGGGAUUACUGGGCGUAAAGCGUGCGCAGGCGGCUUUGCAAGACAGAUGUGAAAUCCCCGGGCUUAACCUGGGAACUGCAUUUGUGACUGCAUGGCUGGAGUGCGGCAGAGGGGGAUGGAAUUCCGCGUGUAGCAGUGAAAUGCGUAGAUAUGCGGAGGAACACCGAUGGCGAAGGCAAUCCCCUGGGCCUGCACUGACGCUCAUGCACGAAAGCGUGGGGAGCAAACAGG